ensembl:lncRNA
UAAUUAGUAAGUAUAAUUACAGAAUUUUAAUUUUUGGGUGAAAUAUCCCUUUAAAUAUCUGUUCACUGGCCUGCAUCCAAGUCUUUCCACUGGCCUCCAGCAUGUCAGGCUGCAGUUGCAUACGGUGUCCGUGCCAUGUGCAUAGGUUUGCAUAGAUUCUGACAGGUCGACCACAUUGUUCCUGUGACUGCAGAGCUUGCCACGCUCACAGCUGAAACCCAGCGGAACCAGCGUGGUCCGAAUCUCCCAAGCUUCCCCCCUUGCCCAGAAUCUCGUAGUCCUGGCCAUCUGCUGCCAGCACUACGAGGCUGUUGAAAAAUGCUGCCUUGAUGAACUACAACAAUAUAAAGCACUAACAUCAUAAGAAAGAGGCAUUUCCUCCCAGUCUCCGUCUGCUUAUGUGUGUGCAUUCAUCAUUUAGAUUCUCAUUAGCACCAAAUUGACGUUAAUUUCCUUAUCGCUAUGAUUUAAAUUGAAUUUCAUAAUAGAUCCGACAGCAAGCAAAUGAACAAUGUGAUGCAACCAAAUUAUGCUGCUGUUUCAGUUCCCGUAGUUACGGUGUCCAAGGCCAACACUUCAUGAUCCAAUCAGAAGUCGGGUACCGAUCAUGCACGCUCAUUUAGGCUGAAUGCAGGGGGAGAGGAAUUCAAUUGGCUGUCAGCAGGAGGCUGUUGCAGUCUAUUUUGCACAGAGCAUGGAGAAAAGACUGGAAAACAAGAGAAAAAAAAAAAGAACAUGGGAAACCAAAUUAGGGAAGGCUGCAAACCAGGCUUAAAUCCGCAUGAAUUCCACAGCUCUCACCUGAACAGAUAAUUAUUUUUAUGAUUGGCAGUAAGAUGAAAUGAUGUUUGGAACAGACCAGUACAGUACCUCCAGUGAUGUAAUAAUGACCUUCACCCUCAGCCUGUUCCUUCCCCAUCAGCCAUCAGCAUCUUCCCUACAGACAAAAAUUAAAGGUCUAGACCGGAAUGACAAAGACUGAGAAGGACCCUACAGCCAGAGCAGAAAGAACGGUAAUAGAAUAGGUAAUCAAAAACAUGGCCUAUCUAUCCCAUCCCAUUCUCUCCAAUACAAUCACUUUUUUCUGCAACUAAUCAUAAAGAAGCAGAUAAGUCUGAUGGUGGAAAAGCAAAAGUUCUAUUCAGGCAGGAUUAAAAUAAGUUGAACAAACACUCAGAAAAUAGUAUCUCCCUUCAGGGCAAGCCUGCAAUCAUUUCAAAGUAUCAUUUUGCAAGUUUGAGCUAGUAACUAAAGUAGGCAAAAGGACAGAUUAUGAAAAAUAAUAAAAAAAAAGAUUAAAAAGCUAAAUGAAAGUAA